CAGAACCCAGACUAGGAAGCAACGGUAGCCCUUACAUGACUUGUGGGUUUUUCUCUAAGCGACACAGAGAUCCAUUAGCUCCUCUCUCUCUGUGUCCCUCAGCGACCCAGCCGCUGCUCCUGUUUCAAAGAUUUCACAGCCUCUCAAAACAGCACCCAGCUGGGGACCAAGUGUUUAAACACAAGAGCCCGUGACAGACGUUGCACGUUUGAAUUGUACCAGGCUACACUGGACACCAGUAAAUCUGGUAACAGACAGCCUGUAGUCCAACUAACUGACAGUGAGCAGCUGUGGAUGGGAAGUCCAAGAACCUAGUAGUUGCUCGGUCCCAUGAGGUGAGGUGUUUCUCCUGGUCUUCUGUACAAGCUGGAAGCCUGAAGAAGCGGGUUCUAACAGAUGUGCUGGCAGGCUGACCUUGAACUCAGAGAUCUCCUUGCCUCAGUCUCCUGGGAUUAAAGGCCUGUACCACCUUGCCUGGGCUUAAGCUUUUCAUGACCACUGUGCCUCAAGAUCUCCAUGCCAAGAUCCAGUCAGAAACUUGUAUCUCCCAGCCUCAAGAUCUGGAUCACAGGCACUGAUCAUAUCCCUCACAGCAUGGCAAGAAGGGCAAGUAUGUACGAUAUGGUAUUUUAAGAUCGAAAUGAUUCGGGCUGGAGGGAUGGCUCAGCGGUUAAGAGCACUGACUGCUCUUCCAGAGGUCCUGAGUUCAAUUCCCAGCAACCACAUGGUGACUCACAACCAUCUGUAAUGAGAUCUGAUGCCCUCUUCCGGUGUAUCUGAAGACAGCAAUGUUGUAUUCAUAUAAAUAAAAUAAAUCUUUAAAAAAAA